rnacentral:misc_RNA from 1 species
AAGUCGUAACAAGGUUUCCGUAGGUGAACCUGCGGAAGGAUCAUUAAAGAGAAAGGGGCUAAACACCCCGACCUCCAACCCUCUGUUGUUAAAACUACCCUUGUUGCUUUGGCGGGACCGUUCGGUCUCCGAGCCGCCAGGCCCCUUCACGGGGGUCCCGGCGAGUGCCCGCCAGAGUUAAACCAAACUCUUGUUAUUUAAACCGGUCGUCUGAGUAAAUUUUUUUGAAUUAAAUCAAAACUUUCAACAACGGAUCUCUUGGUUCUC